ACUUGCAUGAUAGUCAUGCAAUAGCCAUGGUUUUCAACUUGAAUAUUUAUUAAAUGUUGCUUGUUUAAAAUAUGGUUAUCAUUGUUUGGGUAAUGCUUCUGGGUUAGUGCUUACUUGCUUGCUAUAUUGUUAUGGACCUGGUUAGCAUGUCCUGCUAGUUUCUAGUAUUACUUUCAUAUUGCCAUGCUUGAUAGUAGUACAUGUUGGGUUGGUCAUGUUCUUCGGUGCAUGACUAACGUCGGUUAUCGAGUACUGUUAAUAUGCGUUGUUCCUUUGCUGUUAGUUGGUUAAGUGUUACUCGGUAAUGUUAUUGAUGAGUCCUUGCAUGGUAUUUAUGGUUGAUGCUAGUGGUCAUGUUAUACCAUGAGUAGUGUUGCACUUGUAAUAUUUAUGCUCGUCAUUAUGCCAUGUUCAGUUUGAGAUUAUUUCAUAUGAUGGAUAAUUAUGUUGCAUCCCGUGCUUAUGUUGAUAUCAUGCUCAUGCUUUGUAUAUGCAUCAUGUUAUUUUAUCAUGGCUCAGCAUAUUGCAUUCAAAUUUAACCGGAUUAAAUUCAACUUGAACAACUGUUGGCUGAGUCAUGGUGCCACCAUAUCGAAACUGACCAGUGCAACCACGCUUACCUUAUGGGGAGGUCCUAACUGGGUCUAUUGUCGUGCCUCUUGCCGGUGCCUCCAACUAGGGAAGGUUAUGGGCGUGCGUACCCUGAUCAGGUAAGCAGACAUAACCUUGUGUGCCCGUUGUUGUUAUUUUUAUGGAUCCGGUCCCCGUGAGGGACGUUUGGCCACAACGGUGGUCGUUGUGUCUUUGGUAGACACGGGGCCACCCAGGACUAGCCCUGUUGGGAGUGGGUCGGAGUGGCCGGGAGAGUGUCAUGACAAUAGAUCGGUUUUGUCGGAACACCGUUGGUCCACCCGAAUGGGAGUGCGAGGCCAUGGGUUCCGUGGUGUGGGUACAGUGUACUAUCCUCUGCAGAGUGUAUAUUAAAUCUAUGGAUAGCCGCGCCCGCGGAUAAGGUCCCAGUUCGUGUCGGUCCCACCGUGAGUCAAUAGUAUUAAUAAUAACUUGAUCAAUGACAACCCCGGUUCGAUGAUGAGAUAAGUUGGUUGUGAUCGCCGGAAAGAUCACCGUUUCAGACCAAGUGUUGGUCAUGGUUGUGAUCGCCGGAAUGAUCACCGUGGUAUCAAGGAUACCGAGUUGUUGGAUAUUCGUGAUGUUGUGCGAGAAUCGUGGGUAAAGAUCAAGCUCAUUGUGGUCAUUUAAUGAUUACUACAGUAUUGUUUAUACCAAGCUUGAUUUGAUCCUCAGAUGAUCGUGUGAUGCCCGAGGAUGCUAAGUGAUGCAUGUGAUGGUUACAAAGUAACCCGAGCAGAAUAAAUAGUGCAUAUAGUGUCAUCAUGUUGCAUGCUAGUAGCGUCAGAUCUAUAUGUUCAUGCCAUGCUCAUGUUGUUCUACCUAUAUCAUGUUCAUGUUGUUCAUGCCAUGUUAUUCUGAUGAUCUCAUGUUAAUUCCUGCUUAACCUGUAAAUGCCAUGCUGAUGUUUGUCUUUAAUGCUUCUUGUUAUUGUGAGCUUGCAAGUACAUUCAAUGUACUGACCUGGCGUGUCAUGCCAGCUUGCAGGUCGUGCCUGGAUUGCUUGCUUGUUUGGUGUGUUCCGGUGUUCGUGAGCUAGGAUAAGCGUUCCAGCCAGAGUCCCUGCGGAGUGGAGUCCAUCAUCGCCGUUCGUUUUUCCGCUGCCAGUAGUUGUUCCGCUACCUCAACUUGUUAUGCUUCUUGCAUAGAGCAACUGAGGAUGCCGUAGUGUCGCCGUGCCGAUGUUAUUCAUUGUAAUAUUCGAGACCUUGUAUUCAUAUUCGUGUAAUAAUAGUAAGCUGGUUUGUUCUAUGCUAAGCUGUGCCGUAUUCCAGAAGACUUCUCCUCGAUCUCUGGGCUGGAAUACGGGGCGUUCCGGUUUUCUCUGAGCCGGGGUGCCACACCUAUUAACCGGAGGCCCAGCCCAGAAUUGUAGUUUUUUGCCUAUUUCAGAGUUUCGCAGAAAAAGAAUAUCAAACGGAGUCCAAACGGAAUGAAACCUUCGGGAACGUGAUUUUCGGAACGAACGUGAUCCAGAGGACUUGGACCCUACGUCAAGACAUCAACCAGGAGGGCACGAGGUAGGGGGGUGCACCUACCCCCCUGGGCGCACCCUCAACCCUCGUGGGCCCCAUGUUA
rnacentral:lncRNA from 1 species